GUGCUUAUAGUAUAAAAAAUACACUUGCUUUUCACGCAAGAAAUACACGAUAUGUUGAUCACA
rnacentral:tRNA from 1 species